CAGAAGUGGAAUGCCAUGGAGAAGGAAGGCCAGGCUGUGACAGUCCCAGCAUCCCAUCCAGACUGUGGAGGCAGAACAGGCCCUUCUGGAGCCCCUUGGGAUUGGGGUCUGUCCUUGCCCCGGGCCACAGACUGAGAACAGUCCACAGGCCUGGUGUCCACUGCCCACUCUACCCCGUGAGGAUGGCGCCUGGCAUCCCCAGAAAAACUAUGGAAACACAGCCUGCCAAAGACCUCUCAUCCUGAUUUCCCCCUGGGAAAAGAAAGGAAGGAAACUGGAGAAAGAAAGAUGAAAUGAAAGCAAAAUGAUGGAAGAGGGAAGGUGCUGAGGGGUGAUUUCCCAUGUGGAUGCUAAGACCUGCUCCUGGCUGCCUGUCUCAUCUAACCUCUUAGGGGACCCUCAUUAUCCUCUUGAUCUAUCACUCUUUAACUCAGGUCAUCUCUCCUCCCUGCUCAGCACAUGUUUGUGCAUAUAUCACAUAUACACACAGCCCAGCGUGCACACGUACACAAACACACACACAUACACACACACACAGAGUUAGCAGUCUGAGGCCCAUUUCCAGCAAGAGGCCUUACACCCCUUGCUUCCUCUGGCCUCCUACUCCCACUGUGUCCCUCUGUUUGCUCUGCUUUAGUCCUCUGGUGCUUUUUUCCAUCCCUAACCUUGAGCUUGCCCCUUGGAUGGAAGACACACCUGGCUCCUCCAGGUGGAUCUUCAACUUCUUCUCAGACACCAUUGGGGCUUGUUCUCUGGCUCUGCCCCUCUGGUUCUGCCAGCCUGGGUGACUACCCCACUGAUUUAGCUCUUGCCAGAGGACUGAUGCCCUUAUCAUCUCUCACCUGCACACUGGUACUGGUCCUAUGCUUCCAGAUUCUCCCCAAUAUCAUCCAAACUGCCCUGAAAACCACCUUUCCAAGGUGCAGGCCCAAGGGUAUCACUGCCCCACGCAAAAUGCUGGCAAUGGCUCCCCAUGGCCUAUUGGACAAAGUCCACAUCCUGGAAGGCGCUUACUUGACCCCCCCCCCCCAUCUGCUUUUCCAGCUGUGUCUCCUGGUACUCUGCACCAAGCAGUCCACACAAAGACUCUGGAGAUGAGCUCCUGUCCACUGGGCAUAUCCCCCAUUCGUGCCUCUAUCAGGGACCAGUCUCUUUCCUUAGGCUGAAAUGGUUCUCCUCCAAAUCUUUGCACAUGAAAAUUCUACCUUUCUUCAAGGCUACAGCUCCAAAAGGCUGUACACCUCUUCUGGGAAGCCUUCCUGUAUCUCUCCCCCUACAGCCAUCACCUCCUUUUUCACUUCUAUGCCAAAUCUUAAGUCACUUUUAUAUACUUGGAAAAUGAAUCAAGAGGCCUUAUACCAUGUCUGGGUGAGGUGCCCUCCCAUGUGCUCCAACAGAACCUGUAUGUUCCUUUCCCAGAACAUUUAUCACUCUGUGUCGGUUGUCUUUUCAACUGUUGGGCUCCCCCACUGGAUUAUGACACUCUAAGGGCAGGGUCUGGGAGGCCUUGUUCGUGCCAUAUCCCCGGUGCCUAGCAUGGUGCUUGGUUCCUUGCACCAGCUGAAAUGGGCCUCCAGGGCUCUCUGUUUCUGCUAUGGUCUAAAUAUUUGUGUCCCCCAAAUUCAUAUGUUGAAAGCCUAAUCCCCAGUGUGAUGGUCUUUGGAGACAGAGCCUUUGGGAGGUAAUUAGGUCAUGAAGGUGAAGCCCACAUGAUGGGAUUAGUGCCCUUAUCAGAAGAGACAGGACAGAGCUUCCUCUCUUCGCUUUCACUCCCUGACACGGGAGGACAAGCAAACCAAGGAAGAAGAUAGAAAACCAGGAACAGGGCUUUCACCAGAACCCAACCGUGCUGGCACCCUGAUCUUGGACUACCAUCCUCCAGAACUAGGCCCCUACUGCUUCCAGGCUCCUCUGCUAUUUUCCACUGACCCUGCCACUGGCCCCUCAUCCAGGUAUGAGGACCACCCAGAUACAAUCCUGAGAUGAUGGGCCUGGAGUCAGAAGAACUGGGUUGGAGUCUCAGCUCCACCUCUUGGCCGUCUGCCACUGGGCAAGUCACUGUACCUCUCUGACCAGUUUCCUUAACUGUGAAAAGGGGUAACACCGCUCACUGCAUGGGGUUGCUGUGAGGACUGAGAGACAGUGUGGGGCUGUAAGCAUCUGACAGACUGUGCAGUGCUCUCCAAACAUUGGGGCCUUCGUUACAGCCCUCACCCACUUACGACCAUGCUUUGGAAACCUGUUCAGAUCUAGCCAUGUUGACUCUAGCUGCCAUUUGGGCUCAUAAGGAUGUCCUAGAAAGGACUUUUGCCACCUCUCUGCGUUAACAGCUCAAAAUCUCCAGACACUUCGGAUUGCCAGGACCCUUUUGAGCACACGAUGGUUUUCUUCCUCAAAAUCCUUAAAAAGAAAAAAAGGCUUGAAUGGCAAUCAGGACUGGCAGAAGUUGGGCUGUCAUUGUGAACAGAGGAAGGAGGCUGCAAAAGGAGAUGGGAAGAAAGUGGAUAUGCUGAUAGCCAGGCUGGUGCUCUUCCAGGUAAGUCUACCUGCCCUGGCCCCAGGCGGCCCUCCUGGGGUUGGCUGGUCCUGCAGGCUCCCAGGAUACAGCAGAACUAACAAAUAGCAUAGCAUGGAAUACCAAGCACUGGGCAAAUUAUGGCUUCUACGCAGAGCGUUAAAACGGCGGAAAGAGCCGGGUUGUAGAUCCAGCAAAGGCCAGCUUCAGUCUCUGUUCUGCCCCCUUAUGAACAGAGUAACUCAACCAAGCCUCCUAAACUCUUACAGCCUCAGUUCUUCAUCUGUAAAAUGAGGAUCAUUUAGAUAAGAACCGAAUUCAAAUGUGAUUGUAUAUGGAAAUCUCAGGCACAGUACCUGGGCUCAAUAAAUGGUAAUUGCAACUGAUUUUAAAUUGAUUUCUCCAGACUAGUAUUUCAUACUGCCAGGAAACAAGCAAAGACAAAUUCAGAAAACUAAAGUGUUGGAGUUGUGUGUUUUUUUUUUUUUUAAAUACCUCUCAAUCAGGACAAAAAAAACCUCCACAAAGCACUCUGAAAAACUUGCCAUGGAAGCAAGGAUUUGGGGGAAGGACAAGAAAAGGGACUCCUGUAGGAUUGUGCUAGAAGAAUCAGAGCCUCAAAUUGCUUAGAAUCUCUAAAAUUUGUGCUGUAGCUUAUUAUAUAGAAAUUCUUACAGCUAGAAUGCAAUAUAUGUUUCCAGAUGGCACACACUAAUAGAAUUAUAUUGGGGGUGUGCUUCUGGAAGCGUGUCUCUUCAUCAGCCACCAACCUAUAAUCGAUCUAUACCUCUCCGUGUAUAUUUGCCUCCUGUGUCUUAACUUUUCUUAUAUAUGCACACCUAUGUAGUUUCAUGUAAUAAAUGGUCAUAUGAGUGGGCAACGGUGCGGUGAAGAGGACAAGAGCUCAGAUCUUGAAGGAAAAUAUUCCCGAUUCAGUCCUCGGCUCUGCUUUGUAUUACGGGAAUAGCAUUGUUGGGGAAACAUAUAAGUUUACCUACCUUAUCUACCUCAAAAAUAGUUGUAAAGAUGAGGGAAACUGUGGUAAAAUGCUUAGCAUAGUUCUAAUGGUAUCAUUGUAUAA